rnacentral:lncRNA from 1 species
AGGGGUGCCACAUAAAAACUCGUAAUUAAGUCAGCUAGUUUACACACAAAGCUACUCGGAGUCUCGGAUAGUUGUGAUAUAUACUUGUCUGUACCAAACAGACUCGAUAUGUAUUUAAUCGAAGACAAGAGACAUGGAUUGAAUUCACAUGACGAUGAAUCCAUAUUGGAUUACAAUAAGGUAGAAACUCACUGUUUCUCUCAUUUAUUCAUAUCAGCCAGCUAUAUAUAUGUAGAUAUAGGUCUCAGAAACACUUGGAACGGUAUGCGUAUUACAUCAACAUAUAGAGACCCAACUGUGAACUGCGUUUUCAUUAGCAGCGGCAGGGGCAGCAUUUGCCUAGUGGCAGUGGCGGACUCAUAAACUAAAAUGAGGGGGGUCUUAGCUCAAAAAAAAUUUAUUUAACUUAGAUUUUUUUAAUGUUCACUUGAAUACAUAUUAAGUAUUAUAAACUCAAAUUUUAUUACUUUUUUAAAUUUUAAAUAAUAAUAGUAAUAAAUUAUUAUUUUUAAAUGCGUAAAAAUAUCAUUUUUCGAAGUAGUAUUUUAAAUACAUGAAAAUAUCAUUUUUCGAAGUAGUUUCCACAAAAUAUUUAAAAAAAUAAAAUAAUAUGGCUAAUGGGAUUUGAACUAAGGUUUUGAAACUAUUAAAUAACACUCUUACCAUUGAACUACAAGCCUUUAAAUAUAUAAAAAAAUGUGUCCAAGCUUUUUUAUCCAACUUUUUCAGAAGGGACUUGGGAUACAUUUAAAAGAAAACUUAAUGGCCCAGGAGGGCUGAAGCUCCUCCUAGGUCUUAAUUGGGUCCGCCCAUGCCUGGUGGUGCUGGCGCGCAACACACGCAUUGUGGACAGAACCUUAUUGGUGUUGAAGGCCGUAUUGGUGCUCGAGGAGGCACCUUAAACUGAUGAGGACCUGAUCAAUAAAUGACAAUAAUUUUAUUUGAAAACAGCUUCUAAAGAACAUCCCAAGAAAAGAUAAAAGAGUCAGAAAUACACCAGUAGAUGGACCAGCUUCGAGAGGUAAUAUUGAUGAAAAUACCAUGGCAAAGAUGAAGAGGGUCAGCAGCACAGAGCUUGAAAUUUUGCCUGCCAUUUCGUUUAGGCUGUGAGAAGAACUAUAACUGUUUUUGCUCAGAUGGUCAAUGCAAAGGAGAC